AUCAGCUCUAGAACAUUUGGUGAUGGUCAAUGGAAAUCUAACACCAAAAGGACGAUAUUCAGAAACCCUUUUGGAAAUUGGAGAUAAAUGGGUGGUUUUGAUAAAGAAAGGAGAGGUUUUGAUGAGAGUAGUGGAGAAAUUCAUGUGGAUGAAAAUGGAGAGGUUUUGGCAUGAAUGAAUGUUGCAGAAUCCCUAAGCAAGUACUGUAUUAGAUUUUAUUACUUGCUGUUGACUGAUUAAGCUCUGUCUACCGUAUUAUUCUUUGUUUCUGGAAACGCCAGAAAAUGAAGAGAA
rnacentral:misc_RNA from 1 species